CAUGAAGUUGUUUAGUAUAGUAUUGGUGCUAGCAGUCGAUUUUGUUAGGAUUUCUAGACUCUUUUCUACAAGUUAAGCCUUUGAUCAUUAUCAAAAUCUGAUGGGUUAUUUGAUGAUUGAGUGAAUCUAUGGUUGGACUAAGUGAAGGCAUGUCUAUUUGAGUUUGACCCUUGUGACCAAAAAAAAAUUAGGGUGAUUCCUCCAUCUGGAUUGUACGUUGGUGCGUAGGGGUCAUUUGUGGGUCUUUGAUAGACUUUGCUCACUUGUGCUACUUCGUUCUCGAUUGGACCC
rnacentral:lncRNA from 1 species